UGUUAAAAUUUUCAUCCAUUUUUACGGUUAAAAUCUGGCAUAGUUGACAGAAUAACUAAACAGUUACGCAUAACGUCUCACGUACGCCUCAUGUUAACAUACAUGAACCAAUUUUUAACAGUAAAAAUGAAUGAAUUUUUUUAACA
rfam:Gossypium arboreum cultivar AKA8401 contig_3418_3, whole genome shotgun sequence.